UAGGGAAUAUUGGUUAAUGUGCGAAAGCGCGAACCAGCAACGCCGCGUGUGCGAUGAAGGCCUUCGGGUCGUAAAGCACUUUUUGCAGGGAAGAGGAAGGACGGCACCUGCAGAAUAAGUCUCGGCUAACUACGUGCCAGCAGCCGCGGUAAAAAGUAGGAGACGAGCGUUAUCCGGAUUCACUGGGCGUAAAGCGCGUGCAGGCGGCAUGGCAAGUUGGAUGUGAAAGCUCCCGGCUUAACUGGGAGAGGUCGUUCAAUACUGCCAGGCUUGAGAGUGGUAGAGGGAAGCGGAAUUCCGGGUGUAGUGGUGAAAUGCGUAGAUAUCCGGAGGAACACCAGUGGCGAAAGCGGCUUCCUGGCCCAUUUCUGACGCUCAGACGCGAAAGCUAGGGUAGCAAACGG
rnacentral:rRNA from 1 species